GUACUCACUUCAGUAGCUCAUAUAUGCUAAAGUUGGGACAAUACUGAGAUUAGCAUGGACCCUGUGCAAGAAUGACAUGAAUAUUCAUAAAUUAUUCCAUACUAAA
ensembl:snRNA U6 U6 spliceosomal RNA